rnacentral:rRNA from 1 species
AACGAACGCUGGCGGCAUGCCUAACACAUGCAAGUCGAACGAGAUCUUCGGGUCUAGUGGCGCACGGGUGCGUAACGCGUGGGAAUCUGCCCUUUGGUUCGGAAUAACAGUUGGAAACGACUGCUAAUACCGGAUGAUGACGAAAGUCCAAAGAUUUAUCGCCAGAGGAUGAGCCCGCGUAGGAUUAGCUAGUUGGUGUGGUAAAGGCGCACCAAGGCGACGAUCCUUAGCUGGUCUGAGGGGAUGAUCAGCCACACUGGGACUGAGACACGGCCCAGACUCCUACGGGAGGCAGCAGUGGGGAAUAUUGGACAAUGGGCGAAAGCCUGAUCCAGCAAUGCCGCGUGAGUGAUGAAGGCCUUAGGGUUGUAGAGCUCUUUUACCCGGGAUGAUAAUGACAGUACCGGGAGAAUAAGCUCCGGCUAACUCCGUGCCAGCCGCCGCAGUAA